AUUGAACGCUAGCGGCAGGCUUAACACAUGCAAGUCGAGCGAGUGGCGGAAGGGUGAGUAAUGUCUGGGAAACUGCCUGAUGGAGGGGGAUAACUACUGGAAACGGUAGCUAAUACCGCAUACCAUCGGAUGUGCCCAGAUGGGAUUAGCUAGUAGGUGGGGUAAUGGCUCACCUAGGCGACGAUCCCUAGCUGGUCUGAGAGGAUGACCAGACACACUUGAACUGAGACACGGUCCAGACUCCUACGGGAGGCAGCAGUGGGGAAUAUUGCACAAUGGGCGCAAGCCUGAUGCAGCCAUGCCGCGUGUAUGAAGAAGGCCUUCGGGUUGUAAAGUACUUUCAGCGGGGAGGCGUUACCCGCAGAAGAAGCACCGGCUAACUCCGUGCCAGCAGCCGCGGUAAUAC
rnacentral:rRNA from 1 species